rnacentral:ncRNA from 1 species
AUAAUUUAUUUGCAGCUUGUUCCUAGACAAUGUUGGAUUGCUUACUCUUUUAACUAACAAUAUAAGAUUAAAGGCUACACUUGAUUUUUAAAAAUUAAAGACAGAACUUUGUAUAACAUUAAACUCUAACAAAAUAAAACAUUAUAAACUCUUACGCAAAUAUGUAAGCUACCAGGAUGAAGCUUGGGUGAAACUAAGUGGAGGUUCGAACCGACUAAUGUUGAAGAAUCAGUGGAUGAGUUAUGAUUAAGGGUGAAAUUCAACUUAAACCCACAGCUAGCUUGUUCUCCUCGAAAUGCAUUGAGGCGCAAAAAUUGAUUGGACAUCUAGGGGUAAAACACUAUUUUGGUGCGGACCGUGAGAGUGGUACCAAAUCGAGGCAAACUCUAAAUACUAGAUAUGACCUAAAAAUAAUAUGGGUUGAGGCCAACCAAUGAAACGAUGGGGGAUAAGCUUGAUCGCUGAAAGGGAAAUAGCCCAGAUCACCAGCUAAGGCCUAAAUGAUGGCUUAGUGAUAAAGGUGGUAGGGGUGCAAAGACAACCAGGAGGUUUGCCUAGAAGAAACCACCAUUGAAAGAAUGCAUAAUAACUCACUAAUUGAGUGCUCUUACACCAAAGAAGAAUGGGGCUAAGUGAUCUACCGAAGCUGUGGGAUGUAAAAAUGCAUCGGUAGGGGAGAACCUUAAAGGGAAGCACCUACAUGAGUGGGAGUAGACAAAGCGGAAGCGAGAAUGUCAGCUUAAAGCAAACAUUGGUGAAGUCUAUUUCCCUAAAAACCCAUGGGUUCCUUCAUAAGUUCGUCCACGGAGGGUGAGUUAGGGCCUAAGAUCAGGCCAAACGGCGUAGUCAAUAGACAACAGGUGAAUAUUCCUUUACUAUCCUUUGUUAGUCCCGAGGGAUAGAGGAGGCUAGGUUAGCCAAAAUAUGGUUAUCGGUUCAAAGACUCAAGGUGCCCUUGCAUUUUCAAGGCAAGAAAGGGUAAAGAAAAUGCCUUGAGCCAAUGUUUGAGUACCAGGCGUACGGUGCUGAAGUAACUGUAAACUCUAAAUUAUAUAGGUUUUUUUAGUAGUUUAUGGCACCUUUUUACUAAAAAAUAA